ACGCAACGCGCGCGUCUUCUCUUCCUUCUAAAAUUUUUCAACUUGCGAUUUUUUUUCGUGCCCUCUUUGUUGUAUUAUUAGUUGUUUGUUGCUUUUGCUCUUGUCAAUUCUACAGUGAUUUCGCUGGUUAUGAUACCCGAGGUUCUUUUUUGAUUCAUAUGGUUUUUGCUUACAGGUACCUAGUGAAAUGUAUUAGAGAGAUACAUACUAAUCUACCUAUGGUUUUCUUGAAAGUUCAAAAGUAUUUCCAAACCAAUACAACCUAUUUAUAAGCAUGAAAGUUGAACUAAGAGAUUGAAUGUGUAUCCUCCUUGAAGAUAAUGGGCUCCAGAAACAGGUAUUCAGGAAGGAGAAGCAUGUCUAAUAGAUGUAAGCUUAUAGGAAAUAUGUAGGUACCUGAAAACCGUGGUGUACCUAAGACCUUGGUUCGCAAAAGUUGCCCAACAAUUUUGAUUUGCUGGAUGAGUGACAAGUAGCGAAAUGGUAUAUACUAUAUGUUGACUCCACGAAGUACUAUGGUGCUAUUCUUGGACGACGUCUUAGCUGAUCUGGUAGAAGGAUAACCACAUAGGAGUCAUGUAUGUUUUGGUGUCCGUAGGUUAUUUUGAGUGAUGUGAUCGAGGCAGGGUUUAUAAAUGGAGGAAGAAUCUGAAUGGUCCUUGAAGUGUUGGGGAACGUAUAUAUAACUAACAUACAUGUGGCCUACCCUCAGUUGCAUGAAACUAGAGUGGGUGCAGGUGAGGAAGUUGGAGUGGAUGUGGGGGAGCGAGAGGAUAUGGAAGAAUCUAAGGUUGAGAGCGGUUAUAGAAACUUGUAUAUGUAUAUUAUAGAUAUGUAAUCAAAUUUGAUCUAUUCUAAAAAUAUAGUUUUGUUUUUAACCAUAGUAUAAAGGUCAACUUGUAAUUGGGGCCAACUGCAAAUUUUUUUGGCAAAUGUGUAAAUAUUAUGGUUGUAUUAAACAAUCCAGCGAAUAGAAAUUCAUGUUUUAGUAAUGUCUUACUAUUACAUUAUACUUUCUCUUGCUUGGUAGCUUUUCUUCUGUUUCUUUCCAAAUUUGUAUGCCUGAGUGAAUGUAUCCUAGUUGAGAUCGUACUCCUUUCUUGAUGGGAUCGGGCUCCUUUCUUGCUGGGAGGGAGGUCCCUAGAAGAUUCUGAUUUAGGAGUUCGAAAGCAUGGUUCUGACGUGGAUUCACCAGCUCUACAAGGGAAAUAUGCUACUAAGGGCCCACGACAGAGAUAAUUAUUGUAGGAAAUACGAAAUUUGGGGAGGAUCAUAAAAGGCAAAUAGGAAGGGGUUCUAAGUCCUCUCUCAUUUUGUCCUACGACGCGCCACCUCAGUAAUGAGGUCACCGUUCGCUUCAGAAAAGGCUGCGUCAUUAGCCUAGACACUUGAAGUUACACGACACUGUUUCCUCGAGAAUUGCAUCCUUUAUUUACACAAGGACUCUCUCUCUCUCUCUCUC